UGAUCCUGGCUCAGAUUGAACGCUGGCGGCAUGCCUUACACAUGCAAGUCGAACGGUAACAGGUUAAGCUGACGAGUGGCGAACGGGUGAGUAAUGUAUCGGAACGUGCCCAGUUGUGGGGGAUAACUACUCGAAAGAGUGGCUAAUACCGCAUACGACCUGAGGGUGAAAGCGGGGGAUCGCAAGACCUCGCGCAAUUGGAGCGGCCGAUAUCAGAUUAGGUAGUUGGUGGGGUAAAGGCUCACCAAGCCAACGAUCUGUAGCUGGUCUGAGAGGACGACCAGCCACACUGGGACUGAGACACGGCCCAGACUCCUACGGGAGGCAGCAGUGGGGAAUUUUGGACAAUGGACGCAAGUCUGAUCCAGCCAUGCCGCGUGCGGGAAGAAGGCCUUCGGGUUGUAAACCGCUUUUGUCAGGGAAGAAACGGCUUUCUCUAAUACAGAGGGCUAAUGACGGUACCUGAAGAAUAAGCACCGGCUAACUACGUGCCAGCAGCCGCGGUAAUACGUAGGGUGCAAGCGUUAAUCGGAAUUACUGGGCGUAAAGCGUGCGCAGGCGGUUAUGCAAGACAGAGGUGAAAUCCCCGGGCUCAACCUGGGAACUGCCUUUGUGACUGCAUGGCUAGAGUACGGUAGAGGGGGAUGGAAUUC
rnacentral:rRNA from 1 species